GGUGAGGGGUCCGAGUGGCUGAAGGAGCACGCCUGGAAAGUAUGUAAACGGCAACGUAUCGGGGGUUCGAAUCCCCCCCUCACCGCAA
rnacentral:tRNA from 1 species